GCGAGUUGUGCGCUCUCAAGCUAUGUUGAGAGAGCAGCAAACGGCUCAGUAACACGUAGUUAACCUACCCUCAGGACAGGGAUACCCCCGGGAAACUGGGGAUAAUACCUGAUAGGCGGAAGCGCCUGGAAUGGUCCUCCACUGAAAGGGUGUUGAAAGCAUGCUUUUAACACUGCCUAAGGAUGGGACUGCGGCCGAUCAGGUUGUUGGUGGGGUAACGGCCUACCAAGCCUAUAACCGGUACGGGCCCUGAGAGGGGGAGCCCGGAGAUGGGAACUGAGAAACGGUCCCAGGUCCUACGGGACGCAGCAGGCGCGAAACCUCCACAAUGCACGAAAGUGCGAUGGGGUUAUCCCGAGUGCUUUCCGAUGAGGAUGGCUUUUCCUCGGUGUAAAAAGGCGAGGGAAUAAAGGGGGGGCAAGACUGGUGUCAGCCGCCGCGGUAAUACCAGCUCCCUGAGUGGUAGGGAUGAUUAUUUGGCCUAAAGCGUUCGUAGCCGGCUUGGCAAGUCUUCCGUUAAAUCCAGCGACUCAAUCGUUGGUCUGCGGAAGAUACUACUAGGCUAGAGGACGGGAGAGGUUGACGGUAUUCCCAGUGUAGGGGUGAAAUCCAAUAAUCCUGGGAGGACCACCAGUGGCGAAGGCGGUCAACGAGAACGUGCCUGACGGUGAUGGACGAAAGCUGGGGGAGCGAACCGGAUUAGACACCCGGGUAGUCCCAGCCGUAAACGAUGCGGGCUAGGUGUUA
rnacentral:rRNA from 1 species